ACAAGACCGGACUCGGCCCAAUUUGUCAAACCUCAUAUUCACUACCCUUCCCGUUUCUUCCCAUUUCUCCCAAGACAAAAUCAAUUUCUUCCAAACAAGAUCCUCCGACGCCAGAUCUAGCACGGAUAAACUCACACCCUCCGAAGCCGGCACAAAAAGAAGGUGUUUUUACCAAUCGUUGGUUGCUGCACCAAACCCGUCCUCGUCUUCGUCACUGGAACUUACGAUGGCAGGAAAGAACCAGGGAGUAUGUCAUGGUUAUAGAGGAAAGGGGCAUUUUUUUGCUAACUGUCCAGAAAAACGUCGUUGCCCAUGGUGCAAGUAUGCAUUCGUCAAGUGUUUUGAGGUGGAGAAAAGAAAGCAAAAAUAAAGGUAGAUUAUUCAAUAUGUGUACUGCAAAAUGUGGAUAUUAGGAGUGGGUCAAACAUGGCGAGACUAGCGGCGAAUCAAGUGCAGUCAGAGUAACUUCGACGAAUUAUGUGACGAGCAAAGGAGUUGAAGAACUGUCUUGCACAUGUCAAUCUCAAUGUCGACUAUUUGAUCAACGUGAUGUGGAGAUGGCUCUUAACGUUAUGAUACACAAAGGAAGAGCAGAUGCGGAUGGAGAGAAGAAAUGAAAGGGACAACAUCUUGCAGUUCUCAAUUUAAUGACAUUAUUCACCUUUGCAUUUUCGGCAUUAGUAGUUUCAUCACUAGUUGCAGUGGUUAACUUGAUGACCCUAUUCAGUUGUGGAUUCUCGGCAGUAGUAGGUCAAUCGAUAUUUAGUAGUUAAGUAAGGUUGUUUUGUAAUUGCAUCGCCGUAUGAGGUUACUCGACGACGUUAGGUCUAGGGGCAUCUCUUUUUUGAAUUGUAAGUGACCAUUCCUAAUUGCAAGUGACUGUUUGUAA